GAUUACUUGUUACUUAUGAAAUUAUGUAUCAAUUCAACAAGGAUCAGAGCUCAAAAUCAAAUUCUUCAACCUUAGGGUGUUCCAUUAAAGAUGCCGACAUAGAAUACCUACAAGAACUACUUGUCACUCAAGUUGCUCAUUCUUUGAUGUUUCAUCUGUUCAAGUUAACAAACCUGAUAUUGCUAUAAAUUGCAUUUGUCACUCAUCAAUAGCUGAGCAGUCAAUAAUAAAUCAAAUAACUAUUCGAAUGUUAUUCAAUGAAUGAGAACCAGACGCAAACUUUCUUAAAUAUACAAUACGGUACAGCAUAACAAGGCAAUGUUCCAUGUCAGCAGGACACUCAUCGGACUGAUUUUAGUGAGUAAUAUCACUUUUGAAUAAACGACAAGUUAGGUCUUUCAGAUGUGCACUACUGGCAUGAAAACUUCAUUUAAAUCCGCAACUCGACAAUUCUGCUCAACACUCAACACUUGUCCAAUGCACUGCAAUGGGGAUCAACCUACGGAUCAACUGUCAAGUCAACCAAGUCGACCGGAAGCCCCCUUCUUACUAUUGUAAGUGCAGCGGGAACGAUGGGUGAGCUUGAUUUCUUUGACCGGGGCUCCACCGAAGAAAUGUUCGUUUAGAAAUGGUUCAAAUUAAAUGAACUGUAGAUCUGAUAAUUGUAAAUUCAUACCGUUUAUUUAUUACAGAGUGGUAUUUCUAUCACUCAACACAAAUAUCAAAUAAAUGGUGUCACGCAUUGAAAAACCAAAUUUUUGUCAGCUUACAUCUCAUCCAACAACCUUAUACCAAACAGC